UACGGGGGGUGCGAGCGUUGUCCGGAAUCACUGGGCGUAAAGGGCGCGUAGGUGGUUUGAUAAGGGUGUGGUGAAAGUCCGGGGCUCAACCCCGGAUCUGCCGUGCCGACUGUCAAACUCGAGGGCUGUAGAGGCAGACGGAAUUCCGGGUGUAGCGGUGGAAUGCGUAGAGAUCCGGAGGAAGACCGGUGGCGAAGGCGGAUCUCUGGGCCUUACCUGACGCUCAGGUGCGAAAGCUAGGGGAGCGAACAGG
rnacentral:rRNA from 1 species